rnacentral:rRNA from 1 species
AUUGAACGCUAGCGGGAUGCCUUACACAUGCAAGUCGAACGGAGUGGCGAACGGGCGAGUAAUGUAUCCGAACGUGCCCCGUCGCGGGGGAUAACUACGCGAAAGCGAAGCUAAUCCCGCAUCCUAUUGGAGCGGCCUAUAUGGGAUUAGCUAGUUGGUAGGGUAACGGCUCACCAAGGCGACGAUCCGUAGCCGGUUUGAGAGGACGACCAGCCACACUGGGACUGAGACACGGCCCAGACUCCUACGGGAGGCAGCAGUGGGGAAUUUUGGACAAUGGGGGAAACCCUGAUCCAGCCAUCCCGCGUGUGCGAUGAAGGCCUUCGGGUUGUAAAGCACUUUUGGCAGGAAAGCGGUACCUGCAGAAUAAGCAACGGCUAACUACGUGCCAGCAGCCGCGGUAAUUC